rnacentral:rRNA from 1 species
CGCAUCUGUGCAUGCAGCAUAUCAAUAAGCGGAGGAAAAGAAACUAACAAGGAUUCCCCUAGUAACGGCGAGUGAAGCGGGAAGAGCUCAAAUUUGAAAUCUUAAAGGGUUUCCCUUUACGAAUUGUAGUUUAAAGAAGUGUUUUCUGUUGAGGUUUUGGUAAAAGUUCUUUGGAAUAGGACAUCAUAGAGGGUGAGAAUCCCGUAUUUGACCUUUACUUUCAACUUUGUGAUACACUUUCAAAGAGUCGGAUUGUUUGGGAAUGCAGUCCAAAAUGGGUGGUAAAUUUCAUCUAAAGCUAAAUAUUGGCGAGAGACCGAUAGCGAACAAGUACCGUGAGGGAAAGAUGAAAAGAACUUUGAAAAGAGAGUUAAACAGUACGUGAAAUUGUCAAAAGGGAAGCGUUUGACACCAGUGUUGUUUUUCUGAAAAUCAAUUAAAGAACUGUUUAUGCUAAGCUGUUUAGACUUUAUCAGCUAUCUGUUUAGUUUUGAGCUUUUCUUUAAUGCACUUUUCAGUUAACAAGUCAACAUCAAUUUCUUUUGCUGUAAAAAAGCUUGAGGAAGGUGGCUUGAGAUUCGUCUUAAGUGUUUAUAGCCUCUUGCCUAUGCAGUCGGAGAGAUUGAGGUCUGCAGCGUAGAUCCUUCGGGGCUAAAUGCAUUUGUGCUAAGUUAUAGCAUUUUAUAGACAACUUGUUGACUAUGAUUUGUCUUGUAGCUUACUCGCUUAUGUUAUUUUACCUACGCUUAGGAUGUUGAAUCUGUGCGAGACUAC